GAUGAAGAACGUAGCGAAAUGCGAUAAGUAGUGUGAAUUGCAGAAUUCAGUGAAUCAUCGAAUCUUUGAACGCACAUUGCGCCCUUUGGUAUUCCAAAGGGCAUGCCUGUUCGAGCGUCAUUUGUACCCUCAAGCUUUGCUUGGUGUUGGGCGUCUUGUCUCUAGCUUUGCUGGAGACUCGCCUUAAAGUAAUUGGCAGCCGGCCUACUGGUUUCGGAGCGCAGCACAAGUCGCACUCUCUAUCAGCAAAGGUCUAGCAUCCAUUAAGCCUUUUUUUCAACUUUUGACCUCGGAUCAGGUAGUGAUACCCGCUGAACUUAAGCAUAUCAAUAAGCGGAGGA
rnacentral:misc_RNA from 1 species